GACGAACGCUGGCGGCGUGCCUAAUACAUGCAAGUAGAACGCUGAAGGAGGAGCUUGCUUCUCUGGAUGAGUUGCGAACGGGUGAGUAACGCGUAGGUAACCUGCCUGGUAGCGGGGGAUAACUAUUGGAAACGAUAGCUAAUACCGCAUAAGAGUAGAUGUUGCAUGACAUUUGCUUAAAAGGUGCACUUGCAUCACUACCAGAUGGACCUGCGUUGUAUUAGCUAGUUGGUGAGGUAACGGCUCACCAAGGCGACGAUACAUAGCCGACCUGAGAGGGUGAUCGGCCACACUGGGACUGAGACACGGCCCAGACUCCUACGGGAGGCAGCAGUAGGGAAUCUUCGGCAAUGGACGGAAGUCUGACCGAGCAACGCCGCGUGAGUGAAGAAGGUUUUCGGAUCGUAAAGCUCUGUUGUAAGAGAAGAACGAGUGUGAGAGUGGAAAGUUCACACUGUGACGUAUCUACCAGAAAGGACGCA
rnacentral:rRNA from 1 species